rnacentral:rRNA from 1 species
AUUGAACGCUGGCGGCAUGCUUUACACAUGCAAGUCGAACGGUAACAGGCCUUCGGGCGCUGACGAGUGGCGAACGGGUGAGUAAUGCAUCGGAACGUGCCCAGUCGUGGGGGAUAACGCAGCGAAAGCUGUGCUAAUACCGCAUACGAUCUGUGGAUGAAAGCGGGGGACCUUCGGGCCUCGCGCGAUUGGAGCGGCCGAUGUCAGAUUAGGUAGUUGGUGGGGUAAAGGCUCACCAAGCCAACGAUCUGUAGCUGGUCUGAGAGGACGACCAGCCACCCUGGGACUGAGACACGGCCCAGACUCCUACGGGAGGCAGCAGUGGGGAAUUUUGGACAAUGGGCGCAAGCCUGAUCCAGCAAUGCCGCGUGCAGGAAGAAGGCCUUCGGGUUGUAAACUGCUUUUGUACGGAACGAAACGGUCCUGGUUAAUACCUGGGGCUAAUGACGGUACCGUAAGAAUAAGCACCGGCUAACUACGUGCCAGCCGCCGCGGUAAAAC